UACCAGCACCCCGAGUGGUCGGGACGAUUAUUGGGCCUAAAGCAUCCGUAGCCGGUUCUACAAGUCUUCCGUUAAAUCCACCUGCUCAACAGAUGGGCUGCGGAGGAUACUAUAGAGCUAGGAGGCGGGAGAGGCAAGCGGUACUUAGUGGGUAGGGGUAAAAUCCGUUGAUCCAUUGAAGACCACCAGUGGCGAAGGCGGCUUGCCAGAACGCACUCGACGGUGAGGGAUGAAAGCUGGGGGAGCAAACGGG
rnacentral:rRNA from 1 species